AUUGAACGCUGGCGGCAUGCCUUACACAUGCAAGUCGAACGGCAGCAUGAUCUAGCUUGCUAGAUUGAUGGCGAGUGGCGAACGGGUGAGUAAUACAUCGGAACGUGCCCUGUAGUGGGGGAUAACUAGUCGAAAGAUUAGCUAAUACCGCAUACGACCUGAGGGUGAAAGUGGGGGACCGCAAGGCCUCAUGCUAUAGGAGCGGCCGAUGUCUGAUUAGCUAGUUGGUGGGGUAAAGGCCCACCAAGGCGACGAUUAGUAGCUGGUCUGAGAGGACGAUCAGCCACACUGGGACUGAGACACGGCCCAGACUCCUACGGGAGGCAGCAGUGGGGAAUUUUGGACAAUGGGGGCAACCCUGAUCCAGCAAUGCCGCGUGUGUGAAGAAGGCCUUCGGGUUGUAAAGCACUUUUGUCCGGAAAGAAAUCGCACUUACUAAUAUUAGGUGUGGAUGACGGUACCGGAAGAAUAAGGACCGGCUAACUACGUG
rnacentral:rRNA from 1 species